rnacentral:lncRNA from 1 species
UAGUUAUAUCACACUAUGAAUAUAUGCAUGUAUAUGAUUACUAUAUUAUUUUGCUAUAUGUUGUUGAGCUAUCUUCCCGUCUUUGCAAAUCGUGGUAGUUGUAGGUUGCUAUGCUUUGUAGACGGGGGUGGUUCGUGUAUACAUUGAGUGUAUGUGAGGAUUAUAUAUAUAUAUAUAUAACAAUUGAGUAGUAACUCAGGAUUUAACUCACCUCUGGGCGGAAGUGGUAUUGCUUGGUGUUGAGGGAAGGCAUCAUGGGGUCUUGCACCUUUUCUAAGGCCAUGCGCUCAUGAGAGUGCACCCUAAGUGGAAUGCCGCCCAGGUUCAAAAAGAUCAGACAGACUUAGUGACUAGUAGCUUCCAUGUGCGGCCACUGGCUAUAUGGGCUCUGGCUUAGUUGAUCAGUUGUUGGAACCCUGGCCCAGACAGUGUCGACAGAUGUAGCAUAUGUAGGUGGGAUGUGGCCGUCAGGUGGUUAAGGGAACCUCUUCUGAAAGACUUCGUCUCAACCUUCGGAUUGGGUCCAGUGGGUAAAGCGUACAAAACUCUGCAGAGUAUUAAAACUAAUCAUGAUUAGCCGUGCCCCCGGUUAUGGGUAAAUUGAGCCACUAUGCCAUUACAGUUGUUGGAUGAUCUUGACAGAUGUGACACUUAAUAAUAUUUGUGGGCAAAUUAAUAAAGGGUAGGUUGGAGUUGAUUUUGCCAACUCAACCUUGUGUAUUUGAUUGUAGUAAUAAAAGGACUAAAUAAAAAUUUGACUAUUAGGUAGUUAUUAGGAUAAAAUCAGCUUUAUGCAAAAAUAAACCCUCAAGCCUUCCUUUGUUGUACUAUGCAUAUACAUGUAGGUCUGCUAUAUUAUUACUCCUGUGUAACUUGCCAAUACAUUCAAAGUAUUGACCUAUAUGGCUGCAACGUCUCAUGUUGCAGGAUAUUCAGACGAAGAGUAAGGUACCGUUAGGGUCGCGAGUCUACACUCAGCAUCGCCAGUGGGCUAUGAUGGGACUCAUCGUUAUUUUCUGCUACUUUCCGCUGUUUGAUUGAAUAAAGCUAGCCAAGUGCUAUGCAGAUUGUUUUAUUUUAUAUAUUCUGGAUCAUACGAUGUAAUAAAUGAUGCACUUGCUAUUCUGGUAUUCAUCUAUACUGUGUGUGCUAGCGAGUUCGAUCCAGGGACUAUCACGGUAAGCACAGAGACUCAAAUCCUUCGAGGUUUGGUCGUUACAGAUGGUAUCAGAGCAGUGUGUUGACUGUAGGACGUGACCCUAGAAAAUGGAUUAGAAAGCCAUAGGAGUGAAAAUUAUUUUAUAAACAAGCUAUACUUCUUGUUGUUUAUUAGUUAACCCCCUCAAGUAUGUUGCCAGUUAAGUAGGAACUAGUGCUGAGACCCCCAUUCAUGCUUGUUUUAUAUUGCAACGCUAUCGUGUUAGCGUAUCUGAUUAUGCCCACUUUUGUGGUAUGAAGAUACUAGAUUGUUUGCUUGAUUGGUAGUUUGUUUGUUAAUUUAUAUCUUGUCGAAAUUAUUCGACUAUAUAUGUAUAUAUAUAUAUAAUAUUGUUUGUUGUUUGUUGUUUGUUGUUUGUUGUUGGUGUUAUUCGUUGUUGUGUUUUGUUGCCUUGAUCAUAUUAUGCAUUUGGGUAGAAUAUAUUUAUAUAUACAUAGCUUUUGGCCCUAUUAUAUCUAUAACUCAUCUAUUCUCGCCAACCAAAACCCUUAGUAUGCCUAUUAGAGUGAGUUCCCCAGGAGCUGAGAUGAUAGCAGGUGUUGGUUGCCAUCAGUUGACUUUGUCUAUUGGGAAGUAUGAAUUUCCCACAAGGUCUGGAUAUUAUUUUGGGUAUGGACUGGAUGAUCAAGUAUGAGGGUGUUAUUGAUUGUGCCAGUCGAACUAUUACUCUCAGUGCACAAGGAGGGAAGAGGAUCAAAUAUGUAUGUAAGUAUAAGCAUAAUCAGGUGCAGGUGAACUCUCUUAAGGGGGGUAGCCUGGAAGAGGUGCCAGUUGUGAGGGAUUAUCCAGAUGUGUUUCUAGAGGAGUUGCCAGGUAUGCCACCAGAUAGGGAUAUUGAGUUUCUUAUUGAUUUAAUACCAGGCACUGGACCUAUUGCAAAGAGACCGUAUAGAAUGCCUCCUCAAGAGUUGGAGGAAUUGAAGAAGCAGAUAAGAGAAUUGCAGGCACAGGGAUUUAUUCGCCCAAGUUCAUCACCUUGGGGAGCUCCAGUUUUGUUUGUGGAGAAGAAGGAUGGGACUUUGAGGAUGUGUGUUGAUUAUCGUUCUCUGAAUGAGGUAACCAUUAAGAAUAAGUAUCCUUUGCCUAUGAUAAAUGAUCUAUUUGACAGUUGGAGGGAGCUACUGUGUUUUCUAAGAUUGAUCUUCGUUCUGGUUAUCAUCAAUUGAAGAUUCGCGAGCAAGAUAUUCCAAAGACUGCUUUCACCACGAGGUAUGGGUUGUAUGAAUAUACCGUUAUGUCAUUUGGACUGACUAACGCUCCUGCAUACUUCAUGAAUAUGAUGAACAAGGUGUUUAUGGAGUUCUUGGAUAAAUUUGUGGUUGUUUUCAUUGAUGAUAUAUUGGUGUUCUCCAAGAAUAAGCAAGAGCAUGAGGUGCAUCUACGUUUGGUAUUGGAGAAACUGAGGGAACAUCAGUUGUAUGCCAAGUUCAGCAAAUGUGAGUUUUGGCUAGAUGAGGUAGCAUUCCUUGGACAUGUUGUGUCAGGUAAUGGAGUUGCAGUUGAUCCAUCUAAGGUUGCUGCAGUUACAGAGUGGGAGACACCCACGACAGUUGGAGAGAUUCGCAGCUUUUUGGGCCUUGCAGGUUAUUACAGGAGGUUUAUUGAGAACUUCUCCAAGAUUGCAAAGCCUAUGACUGAAUUGUUGAAGAAGGAGAAGAAGUUUGUUUGGACUGAUGAAUGUGAAGCCAGCUUUCAGGAAUUGAAGCAGCGUUUGGUUACAGCACCAGUCUUAACUCUGCCGGAUAUACAUAAGGACUUCCAGGUAUAUUGUGAUGCUUCUCGGCAAGGACUUGGGAGUGUUUUGAUGCAGGAAGGUAAAGUUGUUUCAUAUGCUUCACGUCAGCUUAAGAAUCAUGAGCAUAAUUAUCCUACACAUGAUUUGGAGUUAGCCUCAGUUGUGCAUGCAUUGAAAACUUGGAGGCCAUACCUUAUUGGUAAUCAUUGUGAUAUAUUUACUGAUCAUAAGAGCUUGAAGUAUAUUUUUACUCAAAAGGAUUUAAACCUCAGGCAGAGGAGAUGGUUGGAGCUUAUUAAGGAUUAUGAUUUGAAUGUGCAGUAUCAUCCUGGUAAGGCUAAUGUUGUUGCUGAUGCAUUGAGUCGUAGGAGCCAUGCUAAUGCAAUUAAUAUUGAUAAUAUGCCACCCGAGUUAUGUGAACAGUUCAGGAAUCUCAGGUUGGAGAUGGUUCCUAAGGGAUAUUUGGCAACACUUGAGGUAAAGCCUACUUUGCUUGAUAGGAUUAGAGAAGCUCAAAAGGGUGAUAAGGAGAUUGCUGAGAUAAAAGAGAACAUGGUUAAAGGUAAAGCAGAAGGUUUCCAUGAGGAUGAACAUGGGGCCAUAUGGUUUGAGAAGCGUAUUUGCGUACCUCAGGAUGCAGACAUCAGGAAGUUGAUUCUUCAGGAGGCGCAUGAUUCACCUUAUUCUAUUCACCCAGGUAAUACUAAGAUGUAUUUGGAUUUGAGGGAAAGAUUUUGGUGGCCUAGCCUGAAGAGGGAAAUUGCUGGAUAUAUUGCAACAUGUGAUGUGUGCCAGAGAGUUAAAGCAGAACAUCAGAGACCGGCAGGUUUGCUACAGCCAUUGCCUAUACCUGAUUGGAAGUGGGAUGAGAUUGGUAUGGAUUUCAUUACAGGUCUACCCAGGACUCGGUCAGGUUAUGAUUCUAUUUGGGUAGUUGUUGAUCGUUUGACUAAAGUUGCUCACUUCAUCCCGAUAAAGACUACUUAUACCAGUGCUCAGCUAGCAAAGAUUUAUAUGUAUAAAAUUGUUUGUCUGCAUGGAGUUCCAAGGAAGGUAGUGUCUGAUAGAGGUACUCAGUUCACAUCUAAAUUUUGGCGUCAGUUGCAUGAAUCCUUGGGCACCAGGCUGGAGUUCAGUACAACUUUCCAUCCACAGACAGAUGAGCAGACAGAGAGGGUAAAUCAGAUUUUGGAGGAUAUGUUGAGAGCUUGUGCUUUGGACUACAGGUCCAGUUGGGAUGAUAAUUUACCCUAUGCAGAGUUCUCAUAUAAUAACAGUUAUCAGGCUAGUCUGAAGAUGGCACCAUUUGAGGUAUUGUAUGGCAGAAAGUGCAGGACACCGUUAAUGUGGGAUGAGGUUGGAGAGCGUCAGUUCUUUGGGCCAGACUUGAUCAGAGAUGCUGAGGAGAAGGUCAAGUUGAUUCGUGACAAGCUGAAGAUAGCACAGUCCAGACAGAAGAGUUAUGCAGAUGCAAAACGUAAGGAGGUGACAUAUGAGGUAGGAGACCGUGCAUAUCUUAGAGUUUCACCACUUCGUGGAAUUAAGAGGUUUGGAAUCAAGGGUAAGUUAGCACCACGUUUUGUGGGGCCUUACACGAUCUUGGAGCGUAGAGGAGAGGUAGCUUAUCAGUUGGAGUUGCCAGAAUCUUUGUCAGGAGUUCACGAUGUGUUUCAUGUAUCUCAGUUGAAGAAGUGUCAUGCAGAGAUGAUGGAUGUUCCAUUGCGGGACACAGUGCCACUUGAGGCAAUUCAGUUGGAGAGUGAUUUGACAUAUGAGGAGAAACCUGUUAAGAUUUUGGAGACAGCAGAGAGAGUUACUCGCACCAAAACAAUCAAGUUAUGCAAGGUUCAGUGGGAUCAUUAUACAGAGGAGGAAGCUACCUGGGAACAAGAGGAAGAUCUCAAGCAGGAUCACCCACACCUAUUCGCUAGCCAGCCCGAAUCUCGAGGGCGAGAUUCAUCUUAAGGGGGGUAGGUUUGUAACAUCCCAAUUUUCCUAAAUUAGGAUGUUAUUAGAUCAUACAUAUGCAUAUCAUAUUUUCCAUGCAUUAUUUGCUCUUCUGCAAUAUUCUUUUCAUUAUGCAACUAAAGGCAAUUUAUUGGAGUGGAGAUAACAUGACUUCUCCCCUGUUUAAAAAUGUUCAUAAUGUGCAGAAUAUUAUUUCCAGUUCAUCUGAUAUGUUCUGGUAAUUUUUGCAAUCUUCAAAAUAUUUUAUUUGUUUGUUUUAUUGCUGUUUGUGUGGCCUAUUGCAUAAAAUGAUUUUCAAAAAUUGCAUUAGGUGAGGAACUAGUGUUCCUGUAGUUUAUAUUAGUAGUCUAUAUUUUACUGUGUGUAUAUGUAUUUUUGUUUAGUUUUUAUUAUGUUGUUUUUAUUUUAGUUUAACUGCUGUAGCAGUUUUGUUUUCUUAAAAAAAAAAAAGAAUCAGCGCAGCAUAGCGCGGCCCAGCUAGCCCGCGGCCCAGCAACCACCGCCCGCGCCGCAGCCCACUUAAGCCGCAGCAAAGCGGUACGCCGCUCGCUCGCACCCGACCCGCGCCCGAUCCACCCCUCGCCUCUAGCCGCUGACAGCGGGACCCACUUGCGCCCCUGUUCGUCCCUCCCCGAGCCGGACACCACACGCGCGCACCGCACGCAUGCCGAGGCCGAGCCGGUUCACCCCGCGUCCCUGGUCCACCUCGAGCGCUCCCGAGUCGCCGUGUGCAAGCAGAAGACCCAGGGCGACCCCGCAUCCACUCCUCGUUCUUCCUCGUUGCCGCACGCUCGAGCGAGGGCAAAACGCAUCUCGCCGCGGAGCUCCGCCGCCGCCGCCGUAAGGACGCCUCGGACCACCCCGUUUACUCUCCUCGACCAUCCGCUCAUCUCUUCACUGUUUUGACGUCGUUUUGUCGCCUGAGACGCAGCCGAACACCGCCACCACCGACGUCUGCCGCCGCUGGAGCACACCGCGUUCACGUCGUCACUGCCGCCCGCAGAGGACGCCCCGCCGCCGUUGAACACCACCACCACCUCCGCCACUCACCGCCGCACCCAUCCGUCGCUUCACCUUCGCCGGAGACUCGCCGGAGAGCCACCGCCGCCGACGCCCGAAGCCGCCGCCGUUUUCCUCUGUAAACGGUGAGCACACACGCACAGGAGGUUUUUCGGCCAACCACCCGCUGCCACGUGGCACGACUACAGUGCACGCUGCUGCAGUUCCAGGAGUUUUCUGUUGCCUUUUGUUUCUUUUCCAGAUUUUAAUCCAAAUUUCAAUUUGCUAUAACUCUUAGUAUAUUUGUCCAAUUUAAGUAAUUCUUUCUCCUAUGCACUCACAAAAUUCAGCACAAUAUCACAGUACCAACUUUGCACAUGUUUGCUCUGUUCAAAUUUGAAUUAGUUUGAAUUUGAAUUAAACCUUCCGGAGCCAUAACUCUCAAACUGUUUAUCGGAUUCAAGUGAUUCUUUUUGCGUUGUGACCGUAGUGCAAUUUAGGUGCUGUUAAGCUUCUUUUGUUGUGUUUUUGAAAUGAUUUUCUUGCUGUUGGUUUUAUUUUGGUUCGAUUCGUGUUCCGAUGAUUGAUUUGUUGAAUUGUGUGAAACGUGUAGAUUGUCCGGAGUGCGACGCGAGCUAUUGUCAGGAGUGUGACUUUCUGAACCAGAACCAAGGCAAGUUACAUGUUGAUCAUCCUUUACCUAUUGUUUUCUAUGCAUGUAGUUAUAUCACACUAUGAAUAUAUGCAUGUAUAUGAUUACUAUAUUAUUUUGCUAUAUGUUGUUGAGCUAUCUUCCCGUCUUUGCAAAUCGUGGUAGUUGUAGGUUGCUAUGCUUUGUAGACGGGGGUGGUUCGUGUAUACAUUGAGUGUAUGUGAGGAUUAUAUAUAUAUAUAUAUAUAUAUAUAUAUAUAUAUAUAUAUAACAAUUGAGUAGUAACUCAGGAUUUAACUCACCUCUGGGCGGAAGUGGUAUUGCUUGGUGUUGAGGGAAGGCAUCAUGGGGUCUUGCACCUUUUCUAAGGCCAUGCGCUCAUGAGAGUGCACCCUAAGUGGAAUGCCGCCCAGGUUCAAAAAGAUCAGACAGACUUAGUGACUAGUAGCUUCCAUGUGCGGCCACUGGCUAUAUGGGCUCUGGCUUAGUUGAUCAGUUGUUGGAACCCUGGCCCAGACAGUGUCGACAGAUGUAGCAUAUGUAGGUGGGAUGUGGCCGUCAGGUGGUUAAGGGAACCUCUUCUGAAAGACUUCGUCUCAAUCUUCGGAUUGGGUCCAGUGGGUAAAGCGUACAAAACUCUGCAGAGUAUUAAAACUAAUCAUGAUUAGCCGUGCCCCCGGUUAUGGGUAAAUUGAGCCACUAUGCCAUUACAGUUGUUGGAUGAUCUUGACAGAUGUGACACUUAAUAAUAUUUGUG